UGCCAGCAGCCGCGGUAAUACGAAGGUCCCAAGCGUUGUUCGGAAUCACUGGGCGUAAAGAGUUGCGUAGGCGGCUUUGUAAGUUGGUAGUGAAAGCGUGCGGCUCAACCGCAUAAUCAUUAUCAAAACUGCAGAGCUAGAGUAUAUGAGAGGUCACUGGAAUUCCUUGUGUAGGAGUGAAAUCCGUAGAUAUAAGGAGGAACACCAAUGGCGUAGGCAGGUGACUGGCAUAUUACUGACGCUAAGGCACGAAAGCGUGGGGAGCAAACAGGAUUAGAUA
rnacentral:rRNA from 1 species